UGGGGAAUUUUGGACAAUGGGCGAAAGCCUGAUCCAGCAAUGCCGCGUGUGUGAAGAAGGCCUUCGGGUUGUAAAGCACUUUUGUCCGGAAAGAAAUGGCUCUGGUUAAUACCUGGGGUCGAUGACGGUACCGGAAGAAUAAGGACCGGCUAACUACGUGCCAGCAGCCGCGGUAAUACGUAGGGUCCAAGCGUUAAUCGGAAUUACUGGGCGUAAAGCGUGCGCAGGCGGUUGUGCAAUACCGAUGUGAAAUCCCCGAGCUUAACUUGGGAAUUGCAUUGGUGACUGCACGGCUAGAGUGUGUCAGAGGGGGGUAGAAUUCCACGUGUAGCAGUGAAAUGCGUAGAGAUGUGGAGGAAUACCGAUGGCGAAGGCAGCCCCCUGGGAUAACACUGACGCUCAUGCACGAAAGCGUGGGGAGCAAACAGG
rnacentral:rRNA from 1 species